rnacentral:lncRNA from 1 species
CCACACACACACCUGCUUUUGUUUCUUUCAUGGAAAGCAUUCAUCUGAAAACUUUUUUUUUUUUAAAUAAAAAUAUCUUGAUGGAAGAACGUUGAGGAAUUCUUAAGCAAAUCAACUGAACGAAGAACACCUUUCCAUACUGCUGUCUGGCACGAGGUGGCACACGUACUCUUGGUUAUAACUCAGCACAUACCCCAGAAGAAAUACUGGCAUUCACAAGCUGGGGAAGGAAUAAAGAACCGUAUUAGCAGUGCAGCAACAUCUUUGACUUUACAAGGCGGUUAGAGCACGUUUAUCCCCAUACGCUACCUAUGAAACACAGCUGAAAACAUCAGAAGUGCCAGACAUCCUGAUAGAACCUGUUAUUUACCUAGAUAAAACGUCUGUUGAUAUUUCAAGGACAGGAAAUUUUACAUAAAACGCUGCCACUGCCGGAAAAGGCUUGAGCUUGCCCGAAAGGGUAAGUUCAAGUCGUUAACGCUGGUGUGUGAAACGUGCUUUGAGCACGAGCGCUCCGGAGCGAGUGGAGUUAGCCCAGGUCUUCCAGGGAACACAGCUGAGCAUCUGCCCUCAAGGGAGGGUUCCCGGCUGUGGAACCCAAAUGAAGGAAGGGGUAUGCCCAGUCCUGUUCCAGGAUCCAGAGAGAAGUGAGAUUUUAGCUAGGCUUCUGUAACAAGACUUCAGUUAUUCCUUCUGAGAGGAAGAUCCUGGCUGAGUACAGAGACUUUUGGAUCUGUUUCUUUCCUCCGGAUAGUGGGGCCAGUGCCUUGUUCUGGAUCUCACAUGGACCAAGUGUCUAAAAUCUAGGUAUCGCUGGAACUGACUUUCAGUUCGUUUCUUAUAUCUGGUUCUUCUUCUGCAGGUGCUAAAUGCCACUCAGUUUUCUUUGCAUAGUUAAAAAAUACAGAGACUGCUGAAAGACAGAUGCACAGAAUUAAAAGGUUUUCCUGUUGCCUUUUUUUUUUUUUCUUAUAAAGCAACCAAGAGAUGAGGAGCUUGAUACUUGGCCAAAGCUGAAUGGCUGGUUUUCUCCCAAGAGGCUCUGAUUUUGUCCCUUGAUACCUUGAUUUGAACACUGACUAUGAAAACAUGGAAACUCUUCAGGUCCCUGUCCCAGAGCAUCCUAUAUUCCCCUCUCCAGACAUA